CAGAGAACAACCUGUUGAAAAACAGUGCUAGAGCCCAGCACAGCCCAGGAACUGCAAUUCCAGGUGAUGCCAAUGCUGCUGGUCUGGGACCACCCUCUGAGCAUGACCCGCCAGGAAGAACAAAGAGGACUCAGAGCUGGGGAGGUUAAGAGGAGACCUCACACUGAGCAAGGCCCUGAAGACCUGUGUCACUAAGUAAGGAAGCCUGGACCAGCCUGCUGGAACAUGAGAUCGUGUAGAACACACAAGAGCUCUCCACUGAGGGUCCCUACACCAACCAGCUCCCAGUGGAGCUACCAGAUGACUGCAACAACAGAGUGACCCCAGGUGAGAUCACAGAAGAACCACCAGCCAAGCCCAGCCCAAAGUGCCAGUCCACAG
rnacentral:lncRNA from 1 species